AGCAGCCGCGGUAAUUCCAGCUCCAAUAGCGUAUAUUAAAGUUGUUGCAGUUAAAAAGCUCGUAGUUGAAUUUCGGGAUCAAUAUGUUGGUCGUGCCUCGGUACGUACUAGCUUAUUGGUUUCUCCUUUCUGAAGAACCAUGAUGUCAUUUAUUUGGUGUCGUGGGGAAUCAGGACUGUUACUUUGAAAAAUUAGAGUGUUUAAAGCAGGCUCACGCUUGAAUACAUUAGCAUGGAAUAAUGAAAUAGGACGUUUGAUUCUAUUUUGUUGGUUUCUAGGAUCGACGUAAUGAUUAAUAGGGAUAGUUGGGGGCAUUAGUAUUCAAUUGUCAGAGGUGAAAUUCUUGGAUUUUAUUGAAGACUAACUACUGCGAAAGCAUUUGCCAAGGAUGUUUUCAUUAAUCAAGAACGAAAGUUAGGGGAUCGAAGACGAUCAGAUACCGUCGUAGUCUUAACCAUAAACUAUGCCGACU
rnacentral:sRNA from 1 species